rnacentral:rRNA from 1 species
AGAGUUUGAUCCUGGCUCAGAUUGAACGCUGGCGGAAUGCUUUACACAUGCAAGUCGAACGGCAGCACGGGGGCAACCCUGGUGGCGAGUGGCGAACGGGUGAGUAAUACAUCGGAACGUGCCCAGUCGUGGGGGAUAACUACGCGAAAGCGUAGCUAAUACCGCAUACGAACUCUGGUUGAAAGCGGGGGAUCGCAAGACCUCGCGCGAUUGGAGCGGCCGAUGGCAGAUUAGGUAGUUGGUGGGGUAAAGGCUCACCAAGCCGACGAUCUGUAGCUGGUCUGAGAGGACGACCAGCCACACUGGGACUGAGACACGGCCCAGACUCCUACGGGAGGCAGCAGUGGGGAAUUUUGGACAAUGGGCGCAAGCCUGAUCCAGCCAUUCCGCGUGCAGGAUGAAGGCCCUCGGGUUGUAAACUGCUUUUGUACGGAACGAAACGCGCUGAGCUAAUACCUCGGCGUAAUGACGGUACCGUAAGAAUAAGCACCGGCUAACUACGUGCCAGCAGCCGCGGUAAUACGUAGGGUGCAAGCGUUAAUCGGAAUUACUGGGCGUAAAGCGUGCGCAGGCGGUGAUGUAAGACAGAUGUGAAAUCCCCGGGCUCAACCUGGGAACUGCAUUUGUGACUGCAUCGCUGGAGUGCGGCAGAGGGGGAUGGAAUUCCGCGUGUAGCAGUGAAAUGCGUAGAUAUGCGGAGGAACACCGAUGGCGAAGGAAUCCCCUGGGCCUGCACUGACGCUCAUGCACGAAAGCGUGGGGAGCAAACAGGAUUAGAUACCCUGGUAGUCCACGCCCUAAACGAUGUCAACUGGUUGUUGGUCCUUCACUGGAUCAGUAACGAAGCUAACGCGUGAAGUUGACCGCCUGGGGGAGUACGCCGCAAGGUUGAAACUCAAUGAAUUGACGG